rnacentral:rRNA from 1 species
UUUGAUCUGGCUCAGAACGAACGUUGGCGGCGUGGAUUAGGCAUGCAAGUCGAACGAGAACCGUAGCAAUACGGGGAAAGUGGCGAAAGGGGCAGUAAUGCAUGGGUAAUCUACCCCGGGGACGUGGAUAGCCAUCCUAACGGGUGGGUAAUACACGGCGAUUCGGCGGCGACGCAUGUUGCUGCCGGGAAAGGAAUUUCGCCUCGGGAGGAGCUCAUGUCGUAUUAGCUAGUUGGUGGGGUAACGGCCCACCAAGGCGAAGAUGCGUAGGGGUGUGAGAGCACGACCCGCGCCACUGGCACUGAGACACUGGCCAGACACCUACGGGUGGCUGCAGUCGAGGAUCUUCGGCAAUGGGCGCAAGCUGCACCGAGCGACGCCGCGUGCGGGACGAAGGCCUUCGGGGUUGUAAACCGCUGUCGAGGGGGAGAAAGGCGCAAGCUUGAGUCUAUCCCUGGAGGAAGCACGGGCUAA